GGACGGGUGAGUAACGCGUAGGAAUCUACCGAGUAGUGGGGGACAACAGUUGGAAACGACUGCUAAUACCGCAUAAUCCCUGAGGGGGAAAGGAGGGGAUCUGUUUACAGACCUUUCGCUAUUUGAUGAGCCUGCGUGAGAUUAGCUAGUUGGUGAGGUAAUGGCUCACCAAGGCGACGAUCUCUAGCUGGUCUGAGAGGAUGAUCAGCCACACUGGAACUGAGACACGGUCCAGACUCCUACGGGAGGCAGCAGUGGGGAAUAUUGCACAAUGGGGGAAACCCUGAUGCAGCCAUGCCGCGUGUGUGAAGAAGGCCUUCGGGUUGUAAAGCACUUUCAGCGAGGAGGAAAGGAGUAUGUUUAAUAAACGUGCUCUGUGACGUUACUCGCAGAAGAAGC
rnacentral:rRNA from 1 species